rnacentral:rRNA from 1 species
GAUGAACGCUGGCGGCGUGCCUAAUACGUGCAAGUCGAGCGAACAGACGAGGAGCUUGCUCCUCUGACGUUAGCGGCGGACGGGUGAGUAACACGUGGAUAACCUACCUAUAAGACUGGGAUAACUUCGGGAAACCGGAGCUAAUACCGGAUAAUAUAUUGAACCGCAUGGUUCAAUAGUGAAAGACGGUUUUGCUGUCACUUAUAGAUGGAUCCGCGCCGCAUUAGCUAGUUGGUAAGGUAACGGCUUACCAAGGCAACGAUGCGUAGCCGACCUGAGAGGGUGAUCGGCCACACUGGAACUGAGACACGGUCCAGACUCCUACGGGAGGCAGCAGUAGGGAAUCUUCCGCAAUGGGCGAAAGCCUGACGGAGCAACGCCGCGUGAAUGAUGAAGGUCUUCGGAUCGUAAAACUCUGUUAUUAGGGAAGAACAAAUGUGUAAGUAACUAUGCACGUCUUGACGGUACCUAAUCAGAAAGCCACGGCUAACUACGUG